CAUACACUGAGUAGCAUCAAAAUACUACAAGAUACAGUACUAAAGAAUACUAUUGUGAAGUUUUGGUUGGCAUUCGUUUGCUGCAACAUUGAGUUUAUAUAUGUGUCCGUACCUCUAGUACAGAUGCUACCGGUAUGGGUCUCUAGCAUCAAUCUUUCUGAAAGGUGGCAACCCCAAGUGUGUGUGUGUGUGUGUGUGUGUGUGUGUGUGUGUGUGUGUGUGUGUGUGUUUUAACUCCGUCAGUCAGUGUGUGCGCGUGUGCGAGGUAGGUCUGUUAGCUACGUCUAUUGGCUAGGUCUGUUAGCUUUGUCCGUUAGCUAGGUCCGUUAGCUACAUCUGUUGCUAGGUCUGUUAGCUUCGUCCGUUAGCUAGGUCUGUUAGCUUCGUCCGUUGGCUAGGUCUGUUAGCUUUGUCCGUUGGCUAGGUCUCUUUGGUAAAUUUUAUCUCUCGUUUUUCUGCUGUUUGCUGCUGAGAUGAAUCUGAUGACCAAAGCAGGCCAGACAAACAACACAUUGAAAGAUUUCUGUCAGGAUAAAUCCAGAGCAGAUAAGUGUGCCUCCAAGGUUCAAGCAGAAGUUACUGGUACUGGUCAGAUGGUGCUAUGAGAAAAUGGGUCCCUUGGUCCACAUGUGGAAUCAUUCAGCUGGGACAGAACAGAUAAUACCAGAUGUCGACUGUAGCCCAGGAAGAGGAUUCCAUCCCAGAAACAAAUCUCCAAUUCAGGAUGAGGAAUGUACUUCAACAGCAAGUCCAGGAUUAAUAAAGUUAGUUGUGAAUGUUCUGUUGUUGAAAUUCUGCAAUUCUUGGUUUAGACGUAUUCAGCAUUUCCAUGUUUUUGUACAUUUCCACUUUUAAUCAAGUAUCUAACUGUUUCCAGUGCUUGGAUUUCACAGUUUUAUUUGUAAAAACUAUUUUAUAUUUUUAUAUAUAUAUAUCGACUCCGUAUGGCGGCUCUCUCUAUAAAGAUCUUUCUGUGAAUAUUUUUGAACUGAAUCAACUUUACUAGGACGACUCUGUCCGCUACGCUCAGAGAGCAAAUGAGCAAAUGAAAAGCAAUAUUAGACUUGCACACAUGACAUUGUUUUGAUCAACAACUCCUUUGUUCCCUUAUAGUGUCACUAGACGUACAGUCAGUUUAUCUCCUCAAACAAUAAAUCGUUUAUUAAAAUAUGCAUGCAAUUCUAAACAUAAUUCCAGGAAAUGCACUUUACAUUGUCUGAAUAACUUAAAGUGGAAUGAUUUGUGUGUUCAUAAAUGUAGUGUUGUUGUUUACAGAAUGAAAAAUGCAAAGUUAAAUGUAUGUAUCUGUUUGUAUAUGGAAAUGUGUGUGUCUGAAGAAUGUUUAGGCUGAGUGAGAUGAGAAAAUAAAUGACAUUUGUGACAAGAACA